rnacentral:tRNA from 1 species
GCGAAAGUGGCGAAACUGGUAGACGCGCGAGCCUUAGGAGCUCGUCCCGUAAGGGGUGGGGGUUCGAGUCCCCCCUUUCGCACCA